GACGAACUCCAGGACCUUGAGGUCCACCAGCCGUGGUCGUCCCUCCGUUGGUUUCACCAGCCAGGUGUGUGGCUCCAGCAUGUCAGAGUCCGGCUCCAAGAAGCCUUCCCUUUUGGUGUCCUUCGGUGGGACCACGACUUCCUCCGUGGCGAGCGGGAGGAGAAGGGCAGCGAGCCCCGCUACAGUAGUGGAACUCCGAGGCGUCUGUGCAGUGAAGCCACGUGCCUGCACCCCGGAGAGAAACGUGC